CAGCAGCCAGAGAGGCAGGAGUUCCUGGAGUAGGGAUGCGAGAAGCAGUGAGACCCGCAGCCUCUCUCUUCCCUGGUGUAGAGAGGAAUAACAGGAACAUGGCAUCUGUCUCUGGGUCCUAAGAAGACAACAGGAUGGUGGUAUCAUCAGCAGUAGCAGCAGAUCACUUUGGGCUUGUCGGCACUGUGACAGCAACAAGUCCAAGCAUGCAGAGCCCACCAGUGCCUGCAGCCAUGCGCCAGACCCAGAA